rnacentral:rRNA from 1 species
CCUACGGGUGGCAGCAGUGGGGAAUAUUGGGCAAUGGGCGCAAGUCUGACCCAGCAACGCCGCGUGAAGGAAGAAGGCUUUCGGGUUGUAAACUUCUUUUGUUAGGGAAGAGUAGAAGACGGUACCUGACGAAUAAGCCAUGGCUAACUACGUGCCAGCCGCCGCGGUAAUACGUAGGAGGCAAGCGUUUUCCGGAUUUACUGGGUGUAAAGGGCGUGUAGCCGGGUUGACAAGUCAGAUGUGAAAUCCUGAGGCUUAACCGCAGAACUGCAUUUGAAAUUGUUGAUCUUGAGUACUGGAGAGGCAGACGGAAUGCCUAGUGUAGCGGUGAAAUGCGUAGAUAUUAGGAGGAACACCAGUGGCGAAGGCGGUCUGCUGGACGGCAACUGACGGUGAGGCGCGAAAGCGUGGGGAGCAAACAGGAUUAGAUACCCGAGUAGUC